rnacentral:rRNA from 1 species
AGUGAACGCUGGCGGUAGGCCUAACACAUGCAAGUCGAACGGCAGCACAGUAAGAGCUUGCUCUUACGGGUGGCGAGUGGCGGACGGGUGAGGAAUACAUCGGAAUCUACUUUUUCGUGGGGGAUAACGUAGGGAAACUUACUCUAAUACCGCAUACGACCUACGGGUGAAAGCAGGGGAUCUUCGGACCUUGCGCGAUUGAAUGAGCCGAUGUCGGAUUAGCUAGUUGGCGGGUUAAAGGCCAAGCAAGGCGACGAUCCGUAGCUGGUGUGAGAGAAGGAUCAGCCACAUGAGAGCUGGGACAGGGUCCAGGGUCCUACGAGAGGCAGCAGUGGGGAAUAUUAGACAAUGGGCGCAAGCCUGAUCCAGCCAUACUGCGUGGGUGAAGAAGGCCUUCGGGUUGUAAAGCCCUUUUGUUGGGAAAGAAAAGCAGCAGGUUAAUACCCCGCUGUUCUGACGGUACCCAAAGAAUAAGCACCGGCUAACUUCGUG